CACCCGGUCCCAUUCCGAACCCGGAAGUUAAGCCCCCGAGCGCCGAUGGUACUGCGGAGUAGUCCGUGGGAGAGCAGGACGUCGCUGACC
rnacentral:rRNA from 1 species